UACGGGGGGUGCGAGCGUUGUCCGGAAUCACUGGGCGUAAAGGGCGCGUAGGUGGUUUGAUAAGGGUGUGGUGAAAGUCCGGGGCUCAACCCCGGAUCUGCCGUGCCGACUGUCAAACUCGAGGACUGUAGAGGCAGACGGAAUUCCCAGUGUAGAGGUGAAAUUCGUAGAUAUUGGGAAGAACACCGGUGGCGAAGGCGGCUCACUGGCUCGUAUCUGACACUCAAGCGCGACAGCGUGGGGAUCAAACAGG
rnacentral:rRNA from 1 species